GCCUACCCGUAAAUAUUAACUUACACCUACCAACGCCAGGGAAUUACGAGUCUCAACUUAAAACCCAAAGGACUUGACGGUGUCCCACCCUACUAGAGGAGCCUGUCCUAUAAUUGAUGAUCCCCGAUAUACCCUACCAUUACUCGCUUACCAGUCUGUAUACCGCCGUCGUAAGUUUACCGUGUGAACGCACAACAGUAAGCCCAAGGACUUCCCCGCCACAACGUCAGGCCAAGGUGCAAUUUAUGUAAUGGAAAGUGAUGGGCUACAAUUUCUAAUAUAGAACAUACGAAAAACUACAUGAAACAUAGUCAUGAAGGUGGAUUUAGUAGUAAAUAAGGAAUAGAGAGCCUUAUUAAACCUGGCCCUGGGAUGUGUACAAACCGCCCGUCACC
rnacentral:rRNA from 1 species